AUUGAACGCUGGCGGAAUGCUUUACACAUGCAAGUCGAACGGCAGCACGGACUUCGGUCUGGUGGCGAGUGGCGAACGGGUGAGUAAUGUAUCGGAACGUGCCCAGUCGUGGGGGAUAACGUAGUGAAAAUUACGCUAAUACCGCAUACGAUCUAGGGAUGAAAGCGGGGGAUCGCAAGACCUCGCGCGAUUGGAGCGGCCGAUAUCAGAUUAGGUAGUUGGUGGGGGAAAGGCCCACCAAGCCAACGAUCUGUAGCUGGUCUGAGAGGACGACCAGCCACACUGGAACUGGGACACGGUCCAGACUCCUACGGGAGGCAGCAGUGGGGAAUUUUGGACAAUGGGCGAAAGCCUGAUCCAGCCAUUCCGCGUGCAGGAUGAAGGCCCUCGGGUUGUAAACUGCUUUUGUACAGAACGAAAAGGUUUCUACUAAUACUAGGAGCUCAUGACGGUACUGUAAGAAUAAGCACCGGCUAACUACGUGCCAGCAGCCGCCGUAA
rnacentral:rRNA from 1 species